GAUGAACGCUGGCGGCGUGCCUAAUACAUGCAAGUCGAGCGAACAGACGAGGAGCUUGCUCCUCUGACGUUAGCGGCGGACGGGUGAGUAACACGUGGAUAACCUACCUAUAAGACUGGGAUAACUUCGGGAAACCGGAGCUAAUACCGGAUAAUAUAUUGAACCGCAUGGUUCAAUAGUGAAAGACGGUUUUGCUGUCACUUAUAGAUGGAUCCGCGCCGCAUUAGCUAGUUGGUAAGGUAACGGCUUACCAAGGCAACGAUGCGUAGCCGACCUGAGAGGGGGGUCGGCCACACUGGAACUGGGACACGGUCCAGACUCCUACGGGAGGCAGCAGUAGGGAAUCUUCCGCAAUGGGCGAAAGCUUGACGGAGCAACGCCGCGUGAGUGAUGAAGGUCCUCCGAUCGUAAAACUCUGUUAUUAGGGAAGAACAAAUGUGUAAGUAACUAUGCACGUCUUGACGGUACCUAAUCAGAAAGCCACGGCUAACUACGUG
rnacentral:rRNA from 1 species